rnacentral:rRNA from 1 species
UACAGAGGUCCCAAGCGUUGUUCGGAUUCACUUGGGCGUAAAGGGUGCGUAGGCGGUCGGGUAAGUCUGAUGUGAAAUCUCACAGCUUAACUGUGAAACUGCAUUGGAUACUAUUCGGCUUGAGAGUUGGAGGGGGACUGGAAUUCUUGGUGUAGCAGUGAAAUGCGUAGAUAUCAAGAGGAACACCAGUGGCGAAGGCGAGUCCCCUGGACAACUUCUGACGCUGAGGCAACGAAAGCUAGGGGAGCAAACAGG